UACGGAGGGUGCAAGCGUUAAUCGGAAUUACUGGGCGUAAAGCGCGCGUAGGCGGUUUGUUAAGCUAGCUGUGAAAGCCCCGGGCUCAACCUGGGAACUGCAGUUAGAACUGACAGGCUAGAGUACAGCAGAGGAGUGUGGAAUUUCAGGUGUAGCGGUGAAAUGCGUAGAUAUCUGAAGGAACACCAGUGGCGAAGGCGACACUCUGGGCUGAUACUGACGCUGAGGUGCGAAAGCGUGGGGAGCAAACAGG
rnacentral:rRNA from 1 species